AACGAACGCUGGCGGCAUGCCUAACACAUGCAAGUCGAACGAGACCUUCGGGUCUAGUGGCGCACGGGUGCGUAACGCGUGGGAACCUGCCCUUAGGUUCGGAAUAACUCCCCGAAAGGGGUGCUAAUACCGGAUAAUGUCUUCGGACCAAAGAUUUAUCGCCUUUGGAUGGGCCCGCGUUGGAUUAGCUAGUUGGUAGGGUAAAAGACUACCAAGGCGACGAUCCAUAGCUGGUCUGAGAGGAUGGUCAGCCACACUGGGACUGGGACACGGCCCAGACUCCUACGGGAGGCAGCAGUGGGGAAUAGUGGACAAUGGGCGAAAGCCUGAUCCAGCCAUGCCGCGUGAGUGAUGAAGGCCGUAGGGUUGUAAAGCUCUUUUACCCGGGAUGAUAAUGACAGUACCGGGAGAAUAAGCUCCGGCUAACUCCGUG
rnacentral:rRNA from 1 species